rnacentral:rRNA from 1 species
AUUGAACGCUGGCGGCAGGCCUAACACAUGCAAGUCGAGCGUAGCGGCGGACGGGGGAGUAAUGCCUAGGAAUCUGCAUGGUAGUUGGGGAUAACGUCAGGAAACGGGCGCUAAUACCACAUACGAUCAGAUCACCCUCGGUCUGAGUAGCUAGUUGGUGGGGUAAAGGCCUACCAAGGCGACGAUCCGUACCUGGUCUGAGAGGAUGAUCAGUCACACUGGAACUGAGACACGGUCCAGACUCCUACGGGAGGAUGCAGUGGGGCAUAUUGGACAAUGGGAGAAAGCCUGAUCCAGCCAUGCCGCGUGUGUGAAGAAGGUCUUCGGAUUGUAAAGCACUUUAAGUUGGGAGGCGUUAACAAAAGAAUAAGCACCGGCUAACUUCGUGCCAGCAGCCGCGGUAAUAA